rnacentral:misc_RNA from 1 species
CCAAGAAUCUGAACUGUGCUCCCAGGCUGCUUUGCCAGAUUCAUUAAGCUACCCCCAUGAGCGAUGAGGCGAGCUCCAACAAGCUCUCCAACAAGGGCAGUCAAAUUGGGUGCAAUGGUGUUCAUCCUGCUUUUUAAAUAAUCGUACAGCUGUGCUCUAUAUUCAGCUAGAGAUAAAACCUGAUCACAGAGUUCUCUAAUAUUCAUCAAAUCAACUUCACUAACUUCAGUUCCCAUGGAUAUCAAAGAUGCUUCUUUCAAUUCUGUCUCAACUUCUUCUGGUAGUGUCUCAGAGAAAUCAAGCUUCGCAGCAUUAUCACGGCUACCCAUUAAUUUCACCACUUUGGCAUAAAGGAUGUUGUCUUGUACAAUCUUUGCAAGUUCAGGAAAAUGCCAACCAUACCAUUCUCUAACUCUCAUUGCAUAUGUGUUGAGCUCUUUAUCCAGAUCAUCAAGUAAACCAAUAGCUUGAAUGAUCAUUGUAUCAACCUUGUCGGGACUAAACUUCAGUUUGUACCUAGACAGACUGUGAGAUAAACCCAAGCUCAUUGGUGCCAAAUCUUGUGCACCUAGACCAGCUAUGAGUUCAGUCAACUGACUCCUAACACCCCUCAUCAAUUCCAUGACAGCGUUGUUGUGAACACAUUCUAUUUUCAGUUUUUCCUUGAUUGCAUUUCCAAGCUUUGAAUCAGCCACAGCUAAGGUUUCAUCCUCACAAUGAGCACGCAGAAACUUGCGGAGACCUUUACUAGCUGUGCCUUCAAUUAUUUUUGUUGCUGCUUCCAAAGCCUCUGAUGUAUUCUCAAACUUGGAAAAUGCUUUCAACUUGACCACCUUUCUUGCUGAGUCUGCGGAGGAAAACUCUUUCCAUAAGUCCUCAACUUUAGCUAGCUUCCCUUCAUCCAAAACUUUGAAGAGGGCAAAGCCCGCUGGCGUCUCAAACAACACAAGCAUCCUUCAAUGGCUCAAAACCGACCUCUUCAACAAUGCGUUCUGGACAGAGGGAGAAAAAUUAAGAAGCCCGCUAGGGUUUUAAGAAAGGGGUUCAGAG